rnacentral:lncRNA from 1 species
CUUGAUAAGUUGACAAAUUGUGAUAUGUCAAUUAACCUUUGUUUUAAAGAUAUAUUCUAGAAUGAUAUCUGAAAUACAGGAGAUGAGAAAUGGGAAAAUCAUGAUACAGAGGAAAUAACCGGGAAGGUACAAUCCGAAAAGGAAGCAAGGUAUUCUCAUAUCUUCGAACUACCAGGUACGUAAAUUUCGAGGGCGAAAUUUCAUAAGGAGGGGAGAUUAUGAGACCCCGAAUUUUAUGAAAUGAAAGUAUUCAAUUUUCUUAUAAUUAUUCUAUUUAGUAAAUGGUUAAAUUGAUAAAACGUUAAAGUUAAGGGUGAUAUGUGAAAAUUUUGCAAAGUAUGCAAGUUUGUUAGUUCCCGGAGGCACGGCAAAUAUCUAGAAGGGGGGGGGGGUUGAAUAGAUAAAUAAAACUUUUUCUUUGAACUUAUUUAGGUUGAUGAUAAUCAAUGCACAUCGAAAUGAGUAUUUAAUAAACCUUCAGUUAGAUAUCUUGAGUUAAUGAGAGUGAGGCAAUUAUGACAGUUAUAGCAGGUAUAGCAGUUAUAAUGAAAACAUCAAUUUUAAGUGGUUCAGAGCACUUAAAGCUCCUAAUCUACUCUUCUACUCCUUGAGUAGGAAAUCUACUAAGGAUGUCUGUUACACUUCUUGAAUCUCACAGAUUCCUUCUAGACCAGCAGUCUAGGUACUUCUUAGUUCACUCUUGAACUCUUCAAGUCCAGCAGACUUGGUUUCUCACAAUUCACUUAGAACUCUUCAAGUACUACAGACUUGGUUCUCUCACUUCAGUUGAUUGAAAUGUCGUUUAGAUCGUGAUUGAUGCUACUCAGUUGCUAUUAAGCACUAGUUCGAAAGAACUGAGUAGCUGAGCAAGCUUUCCCUUUUUCUCAGAUCGUGGAGUUGAGCGUUGAGUGUUCCUGUGCGUUUUUGUUCAAAGCUUGUCACUUUUUCUCAUCUGUCUUUGUUCUGUAUAUAUAUGAUCUUGGAAUCUAUCCGUUGAAGUAAUCUGAUGAGGCAUUAAAUGUGGCGACCCCAAAUCCGGAUACUUGAAACCCGAACUCGGUUCUCCACGAUACCAUUUCUUUAAGCUGAAUAAUACUAAAUAAUAAUAUAAUUCGAACUUAAUUUAUAUACAUCAAAGUUUACUUCCCCAGGUACGUGACCUUCAAAUACAUUCCUUACAAUACCUGACAAUAGAUUCCAUUGUCUUACUAACUAUAACCAUUAACUCAUACUAAAUCUCAUUCGAAUAGCUUUUCUUUUCCCUUGUUCGUGCCUGAGCCUUCAGGUCGAUCAUACGUAACUGAAAACAUUUAGUUUAAGCAAGGAUGAGCAUUUGAGUGCCCAGCAAGUAAUAGN